rnacentral:rRNA from 1 species
GCAGUCUGCAACUCGAGUGCAUGAAGCUGGAAUCGCUAGUAAUCGCGGAUCAGAAUGCCGCGGUGAAUACGUUCCCGGGUCUUGUACACACCGCCCGUCACACCACGGGAGUCGGGAAUGCCCGAAGCCGGUGGCCCGAUCGAGAGAAGGGAGCCGUCGAAGGCAGGCCGGAUGACUGGGGUGAAGUCGUAACAAGGUACC